rnacentral:rRNA from 1 species
UACGAAGGGUGCAAGCGUUAAUCGGAAUUACUGGGCGUAAAGCGCGCGUAGGUGGUUCAGUAAGUUGGAAGUGAAAUCCCCGGGCUCAACCUGGGAACUGCUUUCAAAACUGCUGAGCUAGAGUACGGUAGAGGGUGGUGGAAUUUCCUGUGUAGCGGUGAAAUGCGUGGAUAUAGGAAGGAACACCAGUGGCGAAGGCGACCACCUGGACUGAUACUGACACUGAGGUGCGAAAGCGUGGGGAGCAAACAGG